GAUGAACGCUGGCGGCGUGCUUAACACAUGCAAGUCGAACGGAAAGGCCCAAGCUUGCUUGGGUACUCGAGUGGCGAACGGGUGAGUAGCACGUGGGUGAUCUGCCCUGCACUUCGGGAUAAGCCUGGGAAACUGGGUCUAAUACCGGAUAGGACCACAUUCUGGAUGGUGUGGUGGAAAGUUUUUCGGUGUGGGAUGAGCUCGCGGCCUAUCAGCUUGUUGGUGGGGUAAUGGCCUACCAAGGCGUCGACGGGUAGCCGGCCUGAGAGGGUGUACGGCCACAUUGGGACUGAGAUACGGCCCAGACUCCUACGGGAGGCAGCAGUGGGGAAUAUUGCACAAUGGGCGCAAGCCUGAUGCAGCGACGCCGCGUGGGGGAUGACGGCCUUCGGGUUGUAAACUCCUUUCGCUAGGGACGAAGCGCAAGUGACGGUACCUGGAGAAGAAGCACCGGCUAACUACGUG
rnacentral:rRNA from 1 species